rnacentral:rRNA from 1 species
AUUGAACGCUGGCGGCAGGCCUAACACAUGCAAGUCGAGCGAGCGGCGGACGGGUGAGUAAUGUAUGGGGACUGCCCGAUAGAGGGGGAUAACUACUGGAAACGGUGGCUAAUACCGCAUACUGUCGGAUAACCCAUAUGGGAUUAGCUAGUAGGUAAGGUAAUGGCUUACCUAGGCGACGAUCCCUAGCUGGUCUGAGAGGAUGAUCAGCAACACGGGAACGGGGACACGGCCCAAACUCCAACGGAGGCAGAAGGGGGAAAAAUGGAACAAUGGGCGCAAGCCGGAUGAAGCCAUGCCGCGGGAAUGAAGAAGGCCUUAGGGUUGUAAAGUACUUUCAGUGGGGAGGGGUGACCGAAAGAAGAAGAACCGCCUAACUCCGUGCAAGCAGCCGCGGUAUUAC